rnacentral:rRNA from 1 species
GUUGAACGCUGGCGGCAGGCCUAACACAUGCAAGUCGAACGGUAACAGGAAACAGCUUGCUGCUUCGCUGACGAGUGGCGGACGGGUGAGUAAUGUCUGGGAAACUGCCUGAUGGAGGGGGAUAACUACUGGAAACGGUAGCUAAUACCGCAUAACGUCGCAAGACCAAAGAGGGGGACCUUCGGGCCUCUUGCCAUCGGAUGUGCCCAGAUGGGAUUAGCUAGUAGGUGGGGUAACGGCUCACCUAGGCGACGAUCCCUAGCUGGUCUGAGAGGAUGACCAGCCACACUGGAACUGAGACACGGUCCAGACUCCUACGGGAGGCAGCAGUGGGGAAUAUUGCACAAUGGGCGCAAGCCUGAUGCAGCCAUGCCGCGUGUAUGAAGAAGGCCUUCGGGUUGUAAAGUACCUUCAGCGGGGAGGAAGGGAGUAAAGUUAAUACCUUUACUCAUUGACGUUACCCGCAGAAGAAGCACCGGCUAACUCCGUG